rnacentral:tRNA from 1 species
GGGGAUGUAGCUCUGUGGCACAGCACCUGCCUGGAAAGCACGAGGUCCUGAGUUCGGUGGUAGUCAUUCCGUCCCAUCCCUG